GACGUAGGGCGCGAGCGUUGUCCGGAUUUAUUGGGCGUAAAGAGCUCGUAGGCGGCUUGUCGCGUCGAAUGUGAAAUCUCAGGGCUCAACUCUGACAUUGCAUUCGAUACGGGCAGGCUCGAGUCGGUAGGGGAGACUGGAAUUCCUGGUGUAGCGGUGAAAUGCGCAGAUAUCAGGAGGAACACCGGUGGCGAAGGCGGGUCUCUGGGCCGA
rnacentral:rRNA from 1 species